rnacentral:rRNA from 1 species
AUUGAACGCUGGCGGCAUGCCUUACACAUGCAAGUCGAACGGCAGCACGGGUGCUUGCACCUGGUGGCGAGUGGCGAACGGGUGAGUAAUACAUCGGAACAUGUCCUGUAGUGGGGGAUAGCCCGGCGAAAGCCGGAUUAAUACCGCAUACGAUCUACGGAUGAAAGCGGGGGACCUUCGGGCCUCGCGCUUUAGGGUUGGCCGAUGGCUGAUUAGCUAGUUGGUGGGGUAAAGGCCUACCAAGGCGACGAUCAGUAGCUGGUCUGAGAGGACGACCAGCCACACUGGAACUGAGACACGGCCCAGACUCCUACGGGAGGCAGCAGUGGGGAAUUUUGGACAAUGGGCGAAAGCCUGAUCCAGCAAUGCCGCGUGUGUGAAGAAGGCCUUCGGGUUGUAAAGCACUUUUGUCCGGAAAGAAAUCCUUGGCCCUAAUACGGUCGGGGGAUGACGGUACCGGAAGAAUAAGCACCGGCUAACUACGUG